rnacentral:lncRNA from 1 species
AUCAUCAUGGUUGAUCACAUGAGGAAGAUGAAGAACAAUGCCAUUGUUUGCAACAUUGGUCACUUUGAUAAUGAAAUUGAUAUGCAUGGACUUGAGACCUACCCUGGCGUGAAGCGCGUCACCAUCAAGCCCCAGACUGAUAGGUGGGUGUUCCCUGAGACCAAAACAGGCAUCAUUGUGUUGGCUGAGGGGCGUCUCAUGAAUUUGGGUUGUGCCACUGGUCACCCCAGCUUCGUGAUGUCAUGCUCUUUCACCAAUCAGGUGAUUGCACAGCUUGAGUUGUGGAGGGAGAAGGGAACUGGCAAAUAUGAGAAGAAAGUGUAUGUUUUGCCUAAGCACCUUGAUGAGAAGGUUGCUGCUCUUCACCUAGGGAAGCUUGGAGCUCACCUCACUAAACUCACCAAGGAGCAAGCUGAUUACAUCAGCGUUCCCGUUGAGGGUCCUU